rnacentral:rRNA from 1 species
GGGGUGCACCAGGCGCGAAAACUCUACAAUGCAGGCAACUGCGAUAGGGGGACAUCGAGUGGCAUCCACCUUGGGUGCCUGUCCAACCGUCUAAAAAACGGUUGUUAGCAAGGGCCGGGUAAGACCGGUGCCAGCCGCCGCGGUAAUACCGGCGGCUCGAGUGGUGGCCGAUAUUAUUGAGUCUAAAGGGUCCGUAGCCGGCUUUGCAAGUCCCCUGGGAAAUCCAGCGGCUUAACCGUUGGGCUUUCAUGGGAUACUACAUUGCUUGGGACUGGGAGAGGUAGGAGGUACUCGGGGGGUAGGGGUGAAAUCCUGUAAUCCUCCGGGGACCACCGGUGGCGAAGGCGUCCUACCAGAACAGGUCCGACGGUGAGGGACGAAAGCUAGGGGCACGAACCGGAUUAGAUACCCGGGUAGUCCUAGCCGUAAACGAUGCCCGCUAGGUGUCACGACGGUCGUGAAUCGUCGUGGUGCCGUAGGGAAGCCGCGAAGCGGGCCACUUGGGAAGUACGGCCGCAAGGCUGAAACUUAAAGGAAUUGGCGGGGGAGCACAAGGGCGAAUUCGCG